AGCAGAGAUGCUGCUAACAAAUCAAGGAAAUGUUCUAAUAUUAGACUGUAUGUAUCUAGGCAGUAGGAGCCCCUGACCUCUCUACUCUGCCGGCAUUACGUUCCACUUCACAGAUCAACAUAAUGAAAGAAGUGGUGUGGAAGGAAGUGGUUAAAAAAAUGUUAGGUCAUCGUAGACAAAACAGGAGACGCAGCCCCCAGUUUUUUUUUCCUCUUGGUGAUAUUCGAGCUAGCACAUCUUGUGUUGUCUCGAGGAUUUUGUUUUUCUUUUCACUUGUUUGGUUCAAUACAACAACCUCUUCUGAGCAGGUUAUUUUGGCAAAAGCUAGUUUUAACAUAAGCUGUAGUCAUUUAUUACUGUGUUUACAUGUAAUGAUGAUUGUUAAUUUUCAUGCAAAUCCGGGUGCUUUUUAACCAUUUUGUCCUGCUGAAGAUAAAUUUAAUCAACUCAUGUGUUUUAUUAAAUAUCCGUUGCGUAGAUCUUCAUCAUGCACAUGUGACUGGAAUUAACGAGCAGCAUUGUUGAAUUGAACUCAAUGUUCCCGAAACUGAAUCCAUACACAAGAUUUGAAAGGAAGAAUACAGAAAAGGAUUCUUAUACCCACGCGGCCUCGAUGACCACUGCCACUCCCGCAGGCUCCAGUGCCUCUUGAACGGCCAAGGUGAUCUGUUUGUUUAGACGCUCCUGAACUGGAGAGUAAAACACUUUAUGUGUCAUAUUCCAAAUAUAUCCGUAAUCAAGUUGUUUUUGUUUGUUGUUACCUUGAAGCCUCCUGCUGUAGAUUUCAGCAAUCCUGAAAUCACAUUAAAAAAAAACAUUUCAGUCUGAAAACAAGUUUCAGACACCUCCUUGUUAAUGUCACAAUAGACUAUCCUUCUUAUCUUCCAUAUGCAUCAGUUGAAUGGGUUUGUAUUUUCAUUAUAUCCUGAGACUGGCCAUCAAUGUCAAGUCAAUAUUAUGCUGAUAAUUUUUUUAUUGAGUUUUAUUUUGAUUGCCGUGCUUCCAUUCUAUGAUCAUAUUUUUGAGAUUCUGUUUGGUUUGGUAUCCGGUUAUGGGAUGAAGUGGCUGUUUUGGCUAGCAUAUUUAAAUAAGUUGCUUCGUGAUGUAUCAUUCACUACCAGGUGUGUCUCAUCAAAACGUACCUUGCAAGCUUGCUAAGACCAAUGACGACCUUGUUUGGGAUGUACGCAAUGUGAGCCUGAAAAAAAAUUAUGAUUUAAAAUGUUGAUAAUUAUACAUUACCAGCUAAUAGGAUGUAUUGGAAUAUUGCACUAUAGAUUACCUUGCCAAAGAAGGGAACCAGGUGAACAACUCAAUGUCCUUGACAAUCACAAUCUCUCUGUGAUUUUCAUCAAAGAUGGCAUCAUUCAAAAGAUCUGUGAAAGUAAAACUCAUUGACUGCAUUCUGUUUUCAACCAAAGCUCUAGUGUAGAAUAGAAUCAAAGCUGAACGGGACUAUCUAGAUUUUUGGUCGUCAACUACUUUGAAGGCCACAAUUAUUCUGAAACAUACCGUAUAUUACAGAACGAACUUUGAGAAUGACCUUGGCUGUCUUAAAAAUAUGUUUCUUUGAAGAAAACAAGGCUUGCCUGCAGGCUCCAAAUGAGAAUGAGAAAAAUUGUAUAUCCUAAAUUGCGGCAGUCAAGAUGUUGCACACAGUAAGGAAUGAGAAUGAGAAUGAGUCGGGGGGGGGGGUUCAAAUGGGUGAUCUUCCCCACAUGGCAUUUGAGAUGGUCAGAUCUCUCAUUAUUAUGCGAUACGUACAUGUGCUUUGGUCUGAUUGGAUCACUCAUCUUCCUUAAUUGAAAUGGAAAACAGCUUGGGUCUGCUUGGUCCAUAUCACGGCGUCUACUAGAUAGAUGUCACGUCCUUUGAUGCCUAGUUCAAAAUAAAAUCCCUCGCAUUGGUUUGAUCGUGGGAGUUAUUUAUACACACAGAACCCACAUUCAAAUACGGUGUAUAAGUAUAGAUAUGUGCUGUUCUACAACAAUACUUGUACUUUUUAAUGUAUCUGUGGUGGAUGAAAUAGCAAAGCUUGCGUUCGUUGGUGCCAGCGAUGGUCGUCGCGGCCACUUCCAUUCACAUGAAUGGGAGCGUUUCACGAGCUCAAAAUAGCCGCCUCUCUCAUGUCACCCACACGUCCAAGCUCAGCCAGCUCAAGUUCUCUAUUAGUGGGCCAACAAUCAAACACAUGAUGAAUUUAACUUCACAUGUCGGCACAUCGGUGUGGCGUCGGUGAGGCGACUUAAGUGAGUGCCGGUUCAGUGUGUAUAAAUCAUUUGUAACUAUUCUAACUAAACUAAACUAAACUCUCUUGCAUUAAAAUAUUAAAUAAUCUUAUAAAUCCAGUUUAUCUAUAUAGGCCCACCUUUCACAAUGAUCAACGACAUUCCCUUGACUACACCUCUCAUCCCGGCAAGGGGAAAAGAAUAAAACCUGGGGGAACCUUGAAAACGGAUCACACAUAGAGGGGUCCCCCUUCCAGGAUGACCAGGCUGCAGUGAAUGCCGAGUGGGCAACAUUUAUUACAUGGUAGACGCCUCCGGGGAAGAGGUUCUCCUGAGGACCUGUCCCAGUCGGUCUGUGCAGAAUCCUCCACAGCAACGUCUGCGGGAAUCCCAACAUAUAGAGAGUGCAGACGGUGAAGCUGAGAAUGUUCACACAUCAUGGCAGGAAAGACUAAAUCAGCACAGGUAACUAAGUUUAUGAAACUUGGAUCAUAGGUG